rnacentral:rRNA from 1 species
AACGCGAAGAACCUUACCUACUCUUGACAUCCACGGAAUUUGGCAGAGAUGCCUUAGUGCCUUCGGGAACCGUGAGACAGGUGCUGCAUGGCUGUCGUCAGCUCGUGUUGUGAAAUGUUGGGUUAAGUCCCGCAACGAGCGCAACCCUUAUCCUUUGUUGCCAGCGAUUCGGUCGGGAACUCAAAGGAGACUGCCAGUGAUAAACUGGAGGAAGGUGGGGAUGACGUCAAGUCAUCAUGGCCCUUACGAGUAGGGCUACACACGUGCUACAAUGGCAUAUACAAAGAGAAGCGACCUCGCGAGAGCAAGCGGACCUCAUAAAGUAUGUCGUAGUCCGGAUUGGAGUCUGCAACUCGACUCCAUGAAGUCGGAAUCGCUAGUAAUCGUGGAUCAGAAUGCCACGGUGAAUACGUUCCCGGGUCUUGUACACACCG